rnacentral:rRNA from 1 species
UCAAGUUGUGUUUGCUGGAAACCAGGUAGCAGGGGUUGUGACAAAGCUAGGACAAGGGGAAGAACGAACUCCGCGACGAACCCACAACAGCCGGCGGCCGAUGAGUGCAAGGAGGAGGAAAUCAUCGAGGGGCUUCCUGAGCCGUUCAGUAGGGACGAGCUCCUUGACGUCCUGGUCCAGUUCGCCUCGGUCGGUCCCGCCGGCCCUUCCCCCGGAGGCACGGGCCGCAAGCUCUUAGUGGACAGGGUGCCCGCCCGCACCUCGAUCGACGAGCUGAGGAGGUUCUUCUCCGAGUUCGGAGAGAUCGAGGCAGGAUCCCUCGUCGCCGACCACGCAACCGGGCAGUUCUGUGGGUACGCAACCUUCCUCUACAAGUCUCCCGAGGGGAUCGCCAAGGGGCUUGAGGAGCCCAGGAAGGUGUUCGACGGGUGCGAGCUCCAUUGCAGGCACGCACAGAGGCAGACCAAGAGGAAGUGUGCCACUGCCGCACCUGAAGACACCGGUUGCCAGAUAAAUGUCACUCGUGCAGCGGCCUUCCAAUUUCCGUUCCGAAGGAGAUACUCUCAACUUCCUCCACGCAGUCACUUCUAG